CUGACCUGCCCACUGAAUAUUGUUUAAAGGGCCGCAGUAUUUUGACUGUGCAAAGGUAGCAUAAUCAUUAGUCUUUUAAUUGAAGGCUGGUAUGAAUGGUUGGAUGAGAUACAAGCUGUGUCAUAAAAAUUAAUAUUUGAACUUACCUUUUUAGUCAAAAGGCUAAAAUAAUCUUAAAAGACGAGAAGACCCCAUAGAGCUUUAUAUAAUUAAUAUUUAAAUUAUUAAGAUUUUUAAAAUUUAAUUAUUAAAUUAUAUUUUGUUGGGGUGACAAUAAAAUUAAUAAAACUUUUAUUUUUAAUUAACAUUGAUUUAUGAGUAAAUGAUCCAGUUUUAUUGAUUAUAAAUUUAAGUUACCUUGGGGAUAACAGCGUAAUUUUUUUUGAGAGUUCUUAUCGACAAAAAAGAUUGCGACCUCGAUGUUGGAUUAAGAGUAAUUUUGGGUGUAGAAGUUCAAAGUNUUAAGUCUGUUCGACUUUUAAAUUCUUNACBNNNNNNCUGACCUGCCCACUGAAUAUUGUUUAAAGGGCCGCAGUAUUUUGACUGUGCAAAGGUAGCAUAAUCAUUAGUCUUUUAAUUGAAGGCUGGUAUGAAUGGUUGGAUGAGAUACAAGCUGUGUCAUAAAAAUUAAUAUUUGAACUUACCUUUUUAGUCAAAAGGCUAAAAUAAUCUUAAAAGACGAGAAGACCCCAUAGAGCUUUAUAUAAUUAAUAUUUAAAUUAUUAAGAUUUUUAAAAUUUAAUUAUUAAAUUAUAUUUUGUUGGGGUGACAAUAAAAUUAAUAAAACUUUUAUUUUUAAUUAACAUUGAUUUAUGAGUAAAUGAUCCAGUUUUAUUGAUUAUAAAUUUAAGUUACCUUGGGGAUAACAGCGUAAUUUUUUUUGAGAGUUCUUAUCGACAAAAAAGAUUGCGACCUCGAUGUUGGAUUAAGAGUAAUUUUGGGUGUAGAAGUUCAAAGUNUUAAGUCUGUUCGACUUUUAAAUUCUU
rnacentral:rRNA from 1 species